ensembl:lncRNA
CAGCCACAGGGAGAGAGAGGGGAGAGAGAGAGAGGGAGAGAGAGGGAGAGAGAGGGGAGAGAGAGAGAGGGAGAGAGGGAGAGAGAGGGAGAGAGAGGGAGAGAGGGAUGGGGAGCUAGAGGAAGAGAGCGAGAGAGAGAGCAUGAGAAAGUAAGAACCAGGUAAAGAGAAGGAGUAAGAGAAGCCCAAACUGAGUUACUGGUGCCUACUUACCCGUUUGAGUGGUCUAUGGUCCAUCAAGGGGCUUCACAGAAACAGCAAACAACACCGACGAUUAGCACAGACAGACACAAACACACACAGACACACACACAAACACACACAGACACAGACACAAACACACUGGGUUGGAGCGAGGAGGGUUGGGGUACGGCCAUGCUAGAGAUAUAUAGUGAUGUAGUGACAGCUGGUCUGACACCAGGAUGUAGUGUGUAUUAGUGAUGUAGUGACAGUUGGUCUGACACCAGGAUGUAGUGUGUAUUAGUAAUGUAGUGACAGUUGGUCUGACACCAGAAAGAGGUAGUGUGUAUGAGUGAUGUAGUGACAUCUGGUCUGACACCAGAAGGAGGUACUGUGUAUUAGUAAUGUAGUGACAGCUAGUCUGACACCAGGAUGUAGUGUGUAUUAGUGACAUUGUGACAGCUGGUCUGACACCAGAAGAAGGUAGUGUGUAUUAGUAAUGUAGUGACUGCUGGUCUGACACCAGAAGGAGGUAGUGUGUAUGAGUGAUGUAGUGACAUCUGGUCUGACACCAGAAGGAGGUACUGUGUAUGAGUGAUGUAGUGACAGCUGGUAUGACACCAGAAGGAGGUAGUGUGUAUUAGUAAUGUAGUGACAGCUGGUCUGACACCAGAAGAAGGUAGUGUGUAUGAGUGAUGUAG